AUUGAACGCUGGCGGCAUGCCUUACACAUGCAAGUCGAACGGCAGCGCGGACUUCGGUCUGGCGGCGAGUGGCGAACGGGUGAGUAAUGUAUCGGAACGUACCAUUCAGUGGGGAUAACGCAGCGAAAGUUGCGCUAAUACCGCAUAUUCUGUGCGCAGGAAAGCAGGGGAUCGCAAGACCUUGCGCUGAUUGAGCGGCCGAUAUCAGAUUAGCUAGUUGGUGAGGUAAAGGCUCACCAAGGCGACGAUCUGUAGCGGGUCUGAGAGGAUGAUCGCCACACUGGAACUGAGACACGGUCCAGACUCCUACGGAGGCAGCAGUGGGGAAUUUUGGACAAUGGGCGCAAGCCUGAUCCAGCCAUGCCGCGCGAGUGAAGAAGGCCU
rnacentral:rRNA from 1 species